rnacentral:rRNA from 1 species
AUGAUUGUGGUUUAAUUCGAUGCAACGCGAAAACCUUACCCACCUUUGACAUGUACGGAAUCCUUUAGAGAUAGAGGAGUGCUCGAAAGAGAACCGUAACACAGGUGCUGCAUGGCUGUCGUCAGCUCGUGUCGUGAGAUGUUGGGUUAAGUCCCGCAACGAGCGCAACCCUUGUCAUUAGUUGCUACAUUCAGUUGGGCACUCUAAUGAGACUGCCGGUGACAAACCGGAGGAAGGUGGGGAUGACGUCAAGUCCUCAUGGCCCUUAUAGGUGGGGCUACACACGUCAUACAAUGGAUGGUACAAAGGGUCGCCAACCCGCGAGGGGGAGCCAAUCCCAUAAAGCCAUUCGUAGUCCGGAUCGCAGUCUGCAACUCGACUGCGUGAAGUCGGAAUCGCUAGUAAUCGUGGAUCAGAAUGUCACGGUGAAUACGUUCCCGGGUCUU